AUGAUUAUUUGGGUAAAUAUAAGGGAUCCCGUCCGAUCUGCGCAGUCAAACAUUGUAGGGCCGAGUCAGUAGUGCGGUGGGGGACCACGUGUGAAUACUCUGGUGCCCCAGGUA
rnacentral:rRNA from 1 species